rnacentral:sRNA from 1 species
CAGAAGAAACAUACUGGCUUGAAUGUUCAGACUACGCAUCUGUGGGGCAUCUAUUUUCUUUGCCUAGGGAGGAGAUAGUUAUUCUAUUAAUAUCUCAUGUUGGACACUGAUUAGUGCUCACAGAGUUUACAGUUCGAGUUGAGUAGAGCUGUCCUUAGUCCGGUUAGUGCAAAUACUAAAUGCUAUACACUCAGUGGAAAUUCAUCAGUUGCCGAAUUCCUACCACCAUGAAAGUGUUCAGUUCCCCCUUGCGGGGCCAGAAAGCCAUGCAACUGGGUGUGUGGGGGAGUGAGGUCAAAAUCUCCCUCAGACCAGCAGGAGUAGGACUGCUUCCUCCCUGCUUUGGGCCUGUCUGUCCUCCACCACCCUUGAGAUAAUCACAAAGCCUGCUGGUCAGAUUACAGGUUAAGCUUCCUUUCUCCCUAGAAGAAUGGAUCUAGCAAGCACCUGGAAUUCUUCUUCAUGCAAAUGAAGCAUUCCCAGCCCCUCAGCCCUAGUCAAUAACCCACCCUGAAAACCCUUACUUUUAUAGUCCUUGUAGCCCCCCACCCCAAUAAAGAGAGUUUUCCUACUGAAAAUCAUGUGGAGAAGACUGUUUCUGAGACUCAUGUUGACUGAGAUCCUGUCUAACCCACUGGCCUGCCCAGGCUAGCUUUGUGCCUUCCAGUUCAGCCCAGGGUGCAACAGCAUCUUGUUAUCUAGAGAAAAGCAGACCAGAGCCAGCACCACUUCUCCUGGUUGCGUUGUUACUUUGUACUCUCUUGUUAGGAAAUUUCUACCCAGUGACAUAGCAGAGCCCUGGGAACUAAUACAAAGUGACUCUGAAUGCCAAGCUCCACCCCCUCACCCCAUAAAGCUCAGCACAGGACAAGAGCUACCAAGUGUUCUCGACAUAUGUGUGCUUAGAGUGUACAUAUCUACAUCAUCUACAAGGUAGGCAAGUCCAUGGUCACAGUGAGUCAUGGGCUGAGCGGACCUAGAAGAAUGCUUGUUGUUUAGGGUGAGAUAAGUGAAUUCAAGCCAUUGCUGCCAUCUUAAGCAUCUGAGACCCACAGAAUCGAUUGUGUUGUUCAACCACAGUUUUCUGACUUGUAAAUUGAAGAGAAUGCCAACCACUUCCUAUACCCACACUUAUUAAUAUAUCAUUUAUAAACACAAAUUUGAAGCAUAUACACUAUUAAUUUUUACCAUGUACCCUUUCCACUUUAAAAAAACUGUGACAUUGGCUUCCUACUACACUGUAUACGAAGCUGCUACCAACUGUUGUGUGGUCUGGAACUUCAUAAUGCAAACAAGGAAUCUCUCUUGAAAAUGAAUCACUGAGAUGUUUUAAGUGAAGUUAUCCCUAUUGAUAUGCAACACGAUUCUACUUAAGAGACCCUACAGUUCCACCAGAAAAUGCUUAGAUUUAACAACCAUUUUCAGUAAAGUGGCAAGAUACAAAAAUCAACAUACGAAACUGAGCAUCUUUCACACAUACCUAUAACCUAUAACAGGCUGCCUGAGAAAUGAGGAAAGCCAUCUCAUCAUCCCCCUUCUCCCAGUAAAGGUCCCAGGAAUAAACUCCACCAUAGAAGAAAGAUUUAUAAGGUGACAACUUCAAGGCCCUGACAAGAAGUUAAAGGGGACACCGGAUGAUGUAGAGGCUCCUAGAUCCUGGACCUCAAACCUCAUAAAAGAAGACUCUCUGUGCAGUUGGAUAAUGGUCAAUGUCCAGGAUCACAAUGAUUAAAGUGAAGAGAAUAAGUGCAGGUGAAAUGCUCAGCUACACAGCGAACAUUUAUAUAACCCUGUCCCCUAAGACUCAGGGACCAUCUUGGAAGAGGUCAAGAGCAGAGAAAAUAUAUGCUUGUACUAGUGCACAAACAUGUGCAAGUAACAUUUUGAUAAGGGUUAAAAAUUAGACAACCCGUGCAUAAAGAAUGAAGCAGUGAACAUGACACAGUUCUUAUUGAUGAUGGUGAAUCCAUGUGAAGAAAAGAGUGAAGAGAAUCUGUACCCGAGUUAUAAGUGAUAAAGAAACGUAAAACGUCAGAGUGACAGUACAAACAGCCAAGCAGAUGAGGAGUACACGAUGUCAGAGAACCCUGUGCUCUCUCCAUCUGUGAGGACACAGGCUUCCCUCACGUGGCUCUGCCACUUUGAUUGGGAUGCCCCUUAUCCUGCCAAGCAUACAUCGAGUGUUCAAACUGCUGACUGCAGCACCGGAGCAAGCAAUUGAACAGUGUCGCAGGAAAAUUGCGGGUGGCACGCAGCGAUGGGUGGAUGAAGCAGUGUCCACUGUGAUCUGAUAAUAGGUACCCAGUGAAGGCAGAAGAUAGAACCGACUUCCAUCCUGUCAUCAACCCAAAAUGCUCAUCUGGCUGAGUGCUCAAGUCCUAGCUGUCAAAAGCCACUUAACAGCAUCAAAAAGAAACUAGCCUUUCUGUGCACGAUGAUGCUAACAAGUCCAAAGAGGACUGCAGCGGGCACCAUGGUCCAGGUGUACAAUAGAGUUCUCUUCAUUCUCAGGACUUUAAUGAAGAAAAACAGAAAGCCCGAAAACGAGAAGCUGUUGUAGAAAGAGUGAAUCGGGAUGCUGUGGCCCCUCUUGGGCGUAAGCUGUUCUGUGGGAAGUGGAUAUCCACGGAUCAACUCUGCUGUGUGUGCUCUGACCUUUAUCUGAAGCUGAGCUAAUCCAACAGAGUUUGGCAAGGACAGAGCAUUAGAUAAAAGAAAAGCAAAGAACAGAACGAGGCAGAUUUGGCAGAAAGAGAAAUAGAGGAGAGAGAUGAUGAGUCCACUCUGCAGCUGAAGUGGAGAAGCUCAAGUGCGCACACCAGGAAACCCCGUUUCUUUCCCAUCAUUCUUUUAGCCGUCUCCUUUAUUGAUUGAUCAUUACGUGCUGUAUGAAACAAGAGCAUGCAAUUUGGAAUGUAUAAUGGCAUAGACCGGACAGGGGAAACAAAUGUGAUUUUCUUCAUCUUAUCGUUAUAUAAAACCUACCAUUUGGUGAGUGUUGUGGAAAAUGAGAACACGCAAACAAAAACCUUCCCACUUGAGCCCACGGCCUCUCUACCCACAGAGAAAUAGCUCUGGCUAGAAGACCCUACCUUUGCCAUCUCUGGAUUUUGCUUUCAAUCGUUGUUCAACUGUGUGUGAGCUGUGGGCUCAGGCAAUCAUGUCAGCAUCUAAAGAGUCUUCCUUUUUACUUCUCUUUUUUUUCUUUAAACACUGAUGAGCUGAGGUAAUCAUUCUCCCACCACGAGAUGAAAACAGGAGCUCACCCUGGCUGCGGCCACUGUCUCAGACAUAUUAAGAGCUAUUAACAUUAAUAGCCCUUUGUCCUUGGGUUUUGAUGUGGGUAGGGCGAUCUAGUUAAUUUUUUAAAGAACCACCACAUACAGGACACAAAUCUCUAUAUUUUGUUUUGAGAGAAAUAUGUGCACUAUUUUGAUUUUUUUUUUAAAUUCAAGGUAACCUUUAGAUUUGAUGAAACUGAAAAUUUAAAUUGCUUCUCUACUGGGGAUAAUUUGUUCCCCAAAAAACCUUUAACACCAUCUGGUUACUGAAGAGAAAUGGAUAAUUUUUUUAAAGGAUGCAGGCAGAACGCACACCUUUUGAGGAGACCUUAAAUUUUAAAGUAAACACAUACGGGAGCGGAACUGUCUGAAGCCAUCAGGGAAGAGCAGAAAGAAGAAAAGCGCAGAAAUAACUUCUAAAGACUAUGUUCUUCACAACCACCAUGAUUAGCAAAUUCCUGAGUUCAAACAGCACCGAGGGCCCCCCAGGGAGAGAGCACUAAAAUUAUUUUCUCUCUCAAGAAAAUGCUACACACAGUCUCUUGAAAAACAGCAGGCAUGCAGGGAGCAGCGGGGAUAAGAGACAAUAUUCUGAAGAUGUCUAAAUUCUGACUAAUUUCUACAGCUCUGUAUCCUAGUCCUGGAUAGACACCUGCCACCUUCCUUCCAAUUCGUCUCCUUCCGCUUAAACCGCCUGGGACUAGUUCAUCAUGUGGCCAUUCAUACUGCAGGAUUUACUAUGCCCUUUUAAUGAUUUCCCUUUAAAACAAUUCCUUUGCUGCCUCAUUCUUAAAGGAUUUGUUUUUUAAAGGUCUGGGGAUGGAGGCCCAUCGUGCUCUUCUCUGCCCCGUCUCCAGCUCCUGCUUGGCCAAACAUCAUCUCAGCUGAUGGAAUCCAGGGCUCAGCCAUUCAUUUAUUCAUUCGGACUCUCUGAACUUCAUCUCCCAUCUGCUCCAGUGGACAUAGUCACUGAGGUGUGGAUACAGAGGAGAGGAGGCCGUAUGCAAGCCAGGAGGACCACCCUCAGCAAAAUAGAAUUAGCUGCUGCUGACCACAGAACACCCAAUCUCCAGACCUGUGAGAAUGAAACUUCUGUUUCAGCUAUCAGCUGGUGGUGUUUUGUAAUGGUUUCCUGAGUCCACUGAAGCUCAGGGCAGUUCUGAAGGUUGGUCUUUCUUUGUCUAUCUGUCUCUAUC